rnacentral:tRNA from 1 species
UGGUUUGUAGCUCAGCGGUAGAGCGCUCGACUGUUAAUCGAAUGGUCCCCGGUUCGAAUCCGGGCAUUCCAG